AUGCGCCUGUCAACAUGCUUUAACGCGUUUAUUGCAGGAAUUGCCCAAGUUAUGGACUAUAACAUUAACUUGGGCAAACACCUUCUCCCCCUCGUGGUUCAGGUGCUCAAAUACUGCUCUUGUCCUCAACUACGGCAUUAUUUCCAACAGCCGCCUCGCUGCUCCCUCUGGUCCCUAAAGCCUCAUAUCAGGCAGAUGUGGUUGAAGGCCUUGCUUGUCAUCCUUUACAAGUAUCCAUACAGAGACUGUGAUGUCAGCAAGACCCUGCUGCACCUGAUUCACAUAACAGUCAAUACACUCAAUGCCCAGUACCAUAGCUGCAAGCCCCACGCCACGGCAGGACCUCUGUACACUGACAACAGCAACAUAAGCAGAUACAGCGAGAAAGAAAAA
rnacentral:lncRNA from 1 species